GAUGAACGCUGGCGGCGUGCCUAAUACAUGCAAGUCGAACGAGUGGCGGACGGGUGAGUAAUGUCUGGGAAACUGCCUGAUGGAGGGGGAUAACUACUGGAAACGGUAGCUAAUACCGCAUACCAUCGGAUGUGCCCAGAUGGGAUUAGCUAGUAGGUGGGGUAACGGCUCACCUAGGCGACGAUCCCUAGCUGGUCUGAGAGGACGACCAGCCACACUGGAACUGAGACACGGUCCCGCAUCCUGCGGGAGGCAGCAGUGGGGAAUAUUGCAAAAUGGGGGGAAGCCUGAUGCAGCCAUGCCGCGUGUAUGGAGAAGGCUUUCGGGUUGUAAAGUACUUUCAGCGGGGAGGCGUUACCCGCAGAAGAAGCACCGGCUAACUCCGUGCCAGCCGCCGCGGUAAUAC
rnacentral:rRNA from 1 species